rnacentral:ncRNA from 2 species
UACAGAGGGGGCAAGCGUUGUUCGGAAUUACUGGGCGUAAAGGGCGCGUAGGCGGCCUUCUAAGUCAGACGUGAAAUCCCCGGGCUCAACCCGGGAACUGCGUCUGAUACUGGAGGGCUUGAAUCCGGGAGAGGGAUGUGGAAUUCCAGGUGUAGCGGUGAAAUGCGUAGAUAUCUGGAGGAACACCGGUGGCGAAGGCGGCAUCCUGGACCGGUAUUGACGCUGAGGCGCGAAAGCCAGGGGAGCAAACGGG